UACGAAGGGGGCUAGCGUUGUUCGGAAUUACUGGGCGUAAAGGGCGCGUAGGCGGCCACCGCAAGUCAAUUGUGAAAUCUCCGGGCUUAACUCGGAAAGGUCAACUGAUACUGCGGGGCUAGAGUGCGGAAGGGGCAACUGGAAUUCUCGGUGUAGCGGUGAAAUGCGUAGAUAUCGAGAGGAACACCUGCGGCGAAGGCGGGUUGCUGGGCCGACACUGACGCUGAUGCGCGAAAGCCAGGGGAGCGAACGGG
rnacentral:rRNA from 1 species